rnacentral:misc_RNA from 1 species
GAAAUGCGAUAAGUAAUGCGAAUUGCAGAUUUCAGUGAGUCAUCGAAUCUUUGAACGCACAUUGCGCCCGCCAGUAUUCUGGCGGGCAUGCCUGUUCGAGCGUCAUUUCAACCAUCAAGCCCCCGGGCUUGCGUUGGGACCCUGCGGCUGCCGCAGGCCCCGAAAAGCAGUGGCGGGCUCGCAGUCACACCGAGCGCAGUAGCGAUAUUCGCUCCGGGCGUCGGCUGCGGGCACUGGCCGUGAACCCCCCCCCUUUCCACAAGGUUGACCUCGGAUCAGGUAGGAAUACCCGCUGAACUUAA